rnacentral:lncRNA from 1 species
AAUAUUUUAAAAAACACAAGUAACAUCGGGUAUGCCUCGGGUUCUCGUGCCUUAAUUAUGUACAAAAAAAAUCAGGUUUAAGAAUUGUCAUCUAAUGCCUCGUUGCUAUUAUAAAAAAAAUAUUUUAUGAUCUGAUAACUUUUGUCUCGCUAUUUAUUGAGCUUAUACACCAUGAAAGGUUGGUUAAUUUUAAUAUAAAAUUUUUUAAAACUUUCUAGAAUUCAUCAAAUCUCUAGAACUCCUGAAUCCAUCUAUAAGUUGUAAAAAUCAGCUCACAAGUCCGAAGAGAGUAAUUAUGUUGUUGUUGCUCUUCCAUGAUCAAAUAGCCCAAAUGUUUCAUCAAACUUAUUUGAUUUGUAAAAAAAUUUUUCUUCUUAAAAUAUUAUUCUUAAAAAAUUUAAUUUUAUAAAUAUGAUAUUUAAAAAAAUAAUUUAGUAUGUUUGGUUAGUCAUGAAAAAAUAAUUUAUUUUAGAGUGACUUAUGUUUGUUUGAACAUCAACUUUCCUAAUAAAAUUGUAUAAAAUGCAUAUUAUCCCCUUAAUACAAGAAAAAAUCCCAUUCUACACAUUACUAUCAUCUACAAAUGAAAAAUUAUGAUGGUUAAUGAUAUUUUUGUCAUAGUGGAGAAGAGUUUGUGGCAUUAUGAUCGAGAGAAUAUUUAUUUCAAUCGUAGAUUUUUCGAUGGCCUAAAAAAGAUAUUUUAAAAAAAAAAUUUACAAAUUCUAUCCAAUAAAAAUUUUAAAAAAUUAUAUUUUAUAUAAAUUUUUUUAUAAAAUAUAAAAAUUAUAUUUUCAAAAAAUAUUCUUUUCCCAUCUCUCUUUUUUUUUUUAGAAGUUUCUUUUCUACGUCCUGUUGGCCACACUUCCCCCUUUACUUCCCGCUGACCAAAAGAGCCCUAAGCUAAUUCCA